rnacentral:rRNA from 1 species
CGGGCCCUACGGGGCGCAGCAGGCGCGAAACCUUUACACUGCACGAAGGUGCGAUAAGGGGACUCCGAGUGCGAGGGCAUACAGUCCUCGCUAUUGUGUACCGUAGGGUGGUACACGACCAAGAGCUGGGCAAGACCGGUGCCAGCCGCCGCGGUAAUACCGGCAGCUCGAGUGAUGGCCGAUUUUAUUGGGCCUAAAGCGUCCGUAGCU